rnacentral:lncRNA from 1 species
AUGUUAAGACAAUUUAUUUAAACAUGUCAAAUAUUUAUGAUAAAUAUUAUGUAAUUAAUAAAAAAGAAAAAAAAAAAAAAAAAUUCCAAGCGUUUAUUUUGUGUAUCAACAUAUUUAGUUUUUAAUUAACCUAUCACUUGGGUUUUUACAUAAAUAGUUAUUUAAGUUUUACAUCUUCGUCCUUAUUUCUUAAUCCAUCUGUUUAUCUACCUAUUUAUUUAUUUAUUUUAUUUUAUUUUAUUUUAUUUUAUUUUUUUUUUUUUUGUUUUAUUUUUGCUAGUCUCUAAAGCCGUUUAUAUCUCUUGUUGGAAAUAAAUCAGGUUAUAAUUUUUUAUUUUUCCAAAUUUUUUCAUUUUUUUACCUUUAGUGAUUAAUACACAAAAGAAACACAUUCUAUGUAUUGUGCAUAUAUUUUUUUAUGUUUAUGUUUAUAUAUAGAUUUGGUAAAGAAGAUUGUGAAUUAGUUAGGCAAGCAGAACACUUCGCGACCGAACACUUGGUACAAUUAUGGCUCGUAUCAUCGCUUACAGGGAAAAAUGUUAAGAAGUUAUUCUUACAUAUGGUUAACAUGGUUUUCAAUAACACGAAUUUGUGGAAAUACGAUAUGGAAGAUGUAAUAUAUACAUAUACAUGUAUUUACGUUUACACAUAUAUAUAUAUUUACAUGUACAUAUAUGAAUGAAUAAACAUUUCCUCCCCCCCAUUCUUUUCUUUUUUCAGUCUGGAUCCGAAUCUUCAGAAAAUUAAAAUUAAAAAAAAAUAAAAUAAAAUAAAAACCUAAGCA